rnacentral:rRNA from 1 species
UUCUAGUGGCGGACGGGUGAGUAACGCGUGGGUAACCUGCCUUAUACAGGGGGAUAACAGUCAGAAAUGGCUGCUAAUACCGCAUAAGCGCACAGAGCUGCAUGGCUCAGUGUGAAAAACUCCGGUGGUAUAAGAUGGACCCGCGUUGGAUUAGCUAGUUGGUGGGGUAACGGCCCACCAAGGCGACGAUCCAUAGCCGGCCUGAGAGGGUGAACGGCCACAUUGGGACUGAGACACGGCCCAGACUCCUACGGGAGGCAGCAGUGGGGAAUAUUGCACAAUGGGGGAAACCCUGAUGCAGCGACGCCGCGUGAAGGAAGAAGUAUCUCGGUAUGUAAACUUCUAUCGGCAGGGAAGAUAGUGACGGUACCUGACUAAGAAGCCCCGGCUAACUACGUGCCAGCAGCCGCGGUAAUACGUAGGGGGCAAGCGUUAUCCGGAUUUACUGGGUGUAAAGGGAGCGUAGACGGUGUGGCAAGUCUGAUGUGAAAGGCAUGGGCUCAACCUGUGGACUGCAUUGGAAACUGUCAUACUUGAGUGCCGGAGGGGUAAGCGGAAUUCCUAGUGUAGCGGUGAAAUGCGUAGAUAUUAGGAGGAAC